rnacentral:rRNA from 1 species
ACGUGAUCUGAGUUCAGACCGGAGUAAUCCAGGUCAGUUUCUAUCUAUAAAGGGCUUUUUCUAGUACGAAAGGACCGAAAAAGCAUGGCCAAUGAUUCAUUAAGCCAUAUUAAUAGCUUAUGACCACAACUUAAUAAUUAAUAUACCUUACAUUUUACUCAAAAUAAGAGAA